UACGUAGGGUGCGAGCGUUGUCCGGAAUUAUUGGGCGUAAAGGGCUCGUAGGCGGUUUGUCGCGUCGGGAGUGAAAUCCACUGGCUUAACUGGUGGCUUGCUUUCGAUACGGGCAGACUGGAGGUAUGCAGGGGAGAACGGAAUUCCUGGUGUAGCGGUGAAAUGCACAGAUAUCAGGAGGAACACCGGUGGCGAAGGCGGUACUCUGGGCAUGUCCUGACGCUGAGGAGCGAAAGUGUGGGGAGCGAACAGG
rnacentral:rRNA from 1 species